GUCAUAACUCCUGUCUUCUUCCCACACAAAAUCCUAUUUAACCAAAUAUACUUUGUUAUAGUUGCAUCACCAACUUGCCAAGAAAAUAUACAGGCUUCAGUUUUACGUGAUGCUCGGGCAUUAACAGCUGCUCUCCUCUUUCACCUCGGCCAUCUCUAGAGUUGCUUUUUGUGCAGCUCUUCUUCUGUUUUGGAUCUGGCUAACACAUUCCGCAACUAUAACAUGAAACUUGGGGACUAUUUUACUUGGGUUAGAGGCAUUAAGUCCUGCUUUCUUUAAAGCCCGUGCCACGUGCUUUUCAGCCUUCUGAGAAUGAAGAGAGCAGUAGGAAGGAACUGCAGACCUUAAUAUUGGCUUCCCACAAAGUAUGGGCCCUGUUGGCGAACUUUUGAUGGCAAAACUGCAAGCCUUGUACAGCUUCUGCUUGGAAUCUGACAAUAUAUGCAUGUGACAGAACCUCGUAAGCGC
rnacentral:misc_RNA from 1 species